GGAUUAGCUCAGUUGGUUGAGUGCGAGACUGCUAAUCUUGGGGCCGUGAGUUCA
rnacentral:tRNA from 12 species